CCUGCGUUCGCAGCCGCCCAGCGGCCAGCCGGCGCUGGGGACCCCCGCCCGCUCACCGCCGGAGCUCCCGGGAUCGGGGCGGCCAGGGCGGGUCCCCACCUCCCCCGAGCGCUAGGCGCCCCCUCCCUGGGCCGGCGCCGUGGAGCCCGCGCAGUCUCCUCGGCAGGUGGAGUCCUGCUGAUGGCCUGCCAGCCUUGCCGAGGAGCUGGGCGUAUCUGGUGUUGCCGAUCACACAAGGUCAGACCUUGGGGGCUGGGGAGGGCCUGGGUCCCUGCCUCUACCCCAUCAGCCCUGGGAGGACAGUGUAGGACUCCCCUGGCACAUGCAUGCGUUUGGCAUGUAGCAGACAUGACCCGGAUGGAGACUGUGA